UACAGAGGUCCCAAGCGUUGUUCGGAUUCACUGGGCGUAAAGGGUGCGUAGGUGGCUUGGUAAGUUUGAUGUGAAAUCUCCGGGCUUAACCCGGAAAUGGCAUUGAAUACUAUUGAGCUGGAGGUUUGGAGGGGGACUGGAAUUCUCGGUGUAGCAGUGAAAUGCGUAGAUAUCGAGAGGAACACCAGUGGCGAAGGCGAGUCCCUGGACAACACCGUGACACUGAGGCACGAAAGCUAGGGGAGCAAACAGG
rnacentral:rRNA from 1 species